CAGCAGCCGCGGUAAUACGGAGGGAGCUAGCGUUGUUCGGAAUCACUGGGCGUAAAGCGCACGUAGGCGGCUAUUCAAGUCAGGGGUGAAAGCCCGGGGCUCAACCCCGGAACUGCCUUUGAAACUAGAUAGCUUGAAUCUUGGAGAGGCGAGUGGAAUUCCGAGUGUAGAGGUGAAAUUCGUAGAUAUUCGGAAGAACACCAGUGGCGAAGGCGACUCGCUGGACAAGUAUUGACGCUGAGGUGCGAAAGCGUGGGGAGCAAGCAGGAUUAGAUACCCGCGUAGUCCCUGUCUCUUAUAC
rnacentral:rRNA from 1 species